rnacentral:rRNA from 1 species
AGGACGAACGCUGGCGGCGUGCCUAAUACAUGCAAGUCGAACGGUCUUUCUAUGGAAGCUUGCUUCCACUGAGAAGAUAGUGGCGAACGGGUGAGUAACACGUGGGUAACCUGCCCAUAGAGAGGAAUAGCCUUCCGAAAGGGAGAUUAAUACCUCAUAACAUUGCAGUUUCGCAUGGAACAGCAAUUAAAGGAGUAAUCCGCUAUGAGAUAGGCCCGCGGCGCAUUAGCUAGUUGGUGAGGUAACGGCUCACCAAGGCGACGAUGCGUAGCCGACCUGAGAGGGUGAUCGGCCACAUUGGGACUGAGACACGGCCCAGACUCCUACGGGAGGCAGCAGUGGGGAAUAUUGCACAAUGGGGGAAACCCUGAUGCAAGCAACGCCGCGUGAGUGAUGACGGCCUUCGGGUUGUAAAGCUCUGUCUUCAGGGACGAUAAUGACGGUACCUGAGGAGGAAGCCACGGCUAACUACGUGCCAGCCGCAGC